rnacentral:tRNA from 1 species
AAAAAUUUAGUUAACCACAUAACAUUAGCUUGUCAAGCUGAAAUAACUCAUGUAAGAGUAAUUUUUG